GACGAACGCUGGCGGUGUGCUUAACACAUGCAAGUCGAACGGAAAGGCCCUGCUUGCAGGGUACUCGAGUGGCGAACGGGUGAGUAACACGUGGGUGAUCUGCCCUGCACUUCGGGAUAAGCCUGGGAAACUGGGUCUAAUACCGGAUAGGAGCCAUUUUUAGUGUGAUGGUUGGAAAGUUUUUUCGGUGUAGGAUGAGCUCGCGGCCUAUCAGCUUGUUGGUGGGGUAAUGGCCUACCAAGGCGGCGACGGGUAGCCGGCCUGAGAGGGUGGACGGCCACAUUGGGACUGAGAUACGGCCCAGACUCCUACGGGAGGCAGCAGUGGGGAAUAUUGCACAAUGGGCGCAAGCCUGAUGCAGAGACGCCGCGUGGGGGAUGACGGCCUUCGGGUUGUAAACUCCUUUCGCUAGGGACGAAGCUUUUUGUGACGGUACCUAGAUAAGAAGCACCGGCUAACUACGUG
rnacentral:rRNA from 1 species